CAUGCCGCGUGUGUGAAGAAGGCUUUCGGGUUGUAAAGCACUUUCAGUCGGGAGGAAAAGCUCGUCGUUAAUACCGGCGAGUGUUGACGUUACCGGCAGAAGAAGCACCGGCUAACUCCGUGCCAGCCCCCGCGGUGACUGAGCGGGCUGGCAAGGCGCAUA
rnacentral:rRNA from 1 species